UACCAGCACCCCGAGUGGUCGGGACGUUUAUUGGGCCUAAAGCAUCCGUAGCCGGUUCUACAAGUCUUCCGUUAAAUCCAGCUGCUCAACAGAUGGGCUGCGGAAGAUACUAUGGAGCUAGGAGGCGGGAGAGGCAAGCGGUACUCGAUGGGUAGGGGUAAAAUCCGUUGAUCCAUUGAAGACCACCAGUGGCGAAGGCGGCUUGCCAGAACGCGCUCGACGGUGAGGGAUGAAAGCUGGGGGAGCAAACAGG
rnacentral:rRNA from 1 species